UACGUAGGCAGCAAGCGUUGUUCGGAGUUACUGGGCGUAAAGGGUGUGUAGGCGGUCCCUUAAGUUUGUUGUGAAAUCUCCCGGCUCAACUGGGAGGGUGCGGCGAAUACUGAGGGGCUAGAGUGCGGGAGAGGAAAGUGGAAUUCCUGGUGUAGCGGUGAAAUGCGUAGAUAUCAGGAGGAACACCGGUGGUGUAAACGGCUUUCUGGACCGUAACUGACGCUGAAACACGAAAGCGUGGGUAGCAAACAGG
rnacentral:rRNA from 1 species